UACAGAGGGGGCAAGCGUUAUUCGGAAUUAUUGGGCGUAAAGGGCGCGUAGGCGGCUUGGCAAGUGGAUGGUGAAAUCCCUCGGCUUAACCGAGGAACUGCCGUCCAAACUGCUUCGCUUGAGACCGGGAGAGGUGAGUGGAAUUCCCAGUGUAGCGGUGAAAUGCGUAGAUAUUGGGAGGAACACCAACGGCGAAGGCAGCUCGCUGGGACGGUACUGACGCUAAGGCGCGAAAGCGUGGGGAGCGAACAGG
rnacentral:rRNA from 1 species